rnacentral:rRNA from 1 species
AAAUGAAUUGACGGGGCCCGCACAAGCGGUGGAGUAUGUGGUUUAAUUCGAUGCAACGCGAAGAACCUUACCUGGUCUUGACAUCCCGGAGACCCUUAGGAAACUGGGGGGUGCUUCCAUCUGGAAGAAUCUGGAGACAGGUGCUGCAUGGCUGUCGUCAGCUCGUGUCGUGAGAUGUUGGGUUAAGUCCCGCAACGAGCGCAACCCUUGCCUUUAGUUGCCAGCAGUUCGGCUGGGCACUCUAAAGGGACUGCCGGUGUUAAACCGGAGGAAGGUGGGGAUGACGUCAAGUCCUCAUGGCCUUUAUGACCAGGGCUACACACGUACUACAAUGGCCGAUACAAAGGGCAGCGACACUGCGAGGUGAAGCCAAUCCCGUAAAAUCGGUCUCAGUCCGGAUUGGAGUCUGCAACUCGACUCCAUGAAGUUGGAAUCGCUAGUAAUCGUGGAUCAGCAUGCCACGGUGAAUACGUUCCCGGGCCUU